UUAGGGGGUCGCCAACCAAGUGCCCACAGGUGCCAGUGUGCCUGCCAGUACCACCUAAGGUGACUAUGAAAUGUCUCAGUCAAUAUCCCUUCAGAAAUCCACAAUACACAAGGUAAUGUUUACCCUUCUUGUUCACUUCCUGUUUGCACUUCCUCAGCCUCUCCAACACUGAACAUGCCUGUUUAAGCGUGCCCAUAUUUCAUGCCCAUAUGUCACCACUGGACACCCUCCUUCCUUUCCAUUCCAAACAGAGGAGAGGUGCAAAGAGCUCAUCUCAGAGAGUGAACACAGGAGUUGCUGAUGAAUGCAGCAGCUAGACUGGUGACUGGGAGUGGCCGCCAAGAUCAUAUAACACCGGUCCUGAAAGAUCUUCAUUGGCUCCCAGUACGUUUCCGAGCACAAUUCAAAGUGUUGGUGCUGACCUUUAAAGCCCUAAACGGCCCCAGUCCUGUAUACUUGAAGGAGCGUCUCCACCCCCAUCGUCCAGCCCGAACACUGAGGUCCAGCGCCGAGGGCCUUCUGGCAGUUCCCUCGUGGUGAGAAGUGAGGUUAGUGAGAAGUGAGGUUAGGGAGAACCAGGCAGAGGGCCUUCUUGGUAGUGGUGCCUGCCCUGGGGAAUGCCCUCCCAGCAGAUGUCAAGGCAAUAAGCAACCAUUUUACUUUUAAAAGACAACUGAAUGCGGCCCUGUUUAGGGAAGUUUUAAAUGUUUGAUGCUGUAUUGUUUUUAAUAUUUGGUUGGAAGCCACCCAGAGUGGCUGGGGAAACCCAGCCAGAUGGGCAGGGUAUAAAUAAUAAAUUAUUAGAUUAUGAUGAUGAUGAUGAUGUCGAUACUUCUUUUACCCAUCAAUGGGGCAGCUGAUGGGGGGAGGCAUGCCUGCAUCAUCUUGCACUCUUCUUUCUCCUUCCCUCUCCCCUUCAUCCUAUCCCUCUCCCUUUCCAGUUUGGUGGUCCCUGUGUUAUACUAGAACCCCACAGUAGCCACUUUGUGAUUGGCACCGCCCAGCACUCUCUUAACAUUCAAAUGUGCCCAAUGGCUUUAAAAGGUUGGUGACCCUUAUCUCAUUCCCUUCAAAUCACAGAAUUGUAGAGUUGGAAGGGAUCCCAAGGGUCAUCUAGUCCAACCCCCUGCAAUGCAGGAAUAAUUCCCUCUUCACUCACCUUUUCCAUGAAGAUUUGGGUAGAAACCCCAAGUUGCCCCACCCUACUGUAACUCUGCCAAAGCACAUGCAGCUGAAACAACUACACCUACUUGCCCAGUUUAACCCGGCUUCUCCUUAGUAUGCUUGGGUUGCAAACAUGAUCUGUGCGGGAGGCAUUUUUGCAACCCACAGCGUUAGCAACCCACAGUUCCGUGUCUGCGCACCUGCGAUUCUGCACUUGUGCACAUGCGCAAAGCGCGAUUUAGUGUUUCUGCGCAUGCACGAGCGCCAAAACCCAGAAGUAACCCAUUCCAGUACUUCCUGGUUCGGUGUGGUGCACAACCCGAAAACGCACAGCCUGAAGCAUCUGUAAACCAAGGUAUGACUGUACUGUAAAACAAGCAAAUGCAUGCAAGUAGCUUGCUUUGCACUGUAUAGUCUGAUCACAAAAAGGAAGUUUCCCAGGUCCUUUUUAUCCACAUAAAUAUCCUCCCUGCUACUCUCUCCCAUCUGAUCUGUCCUGUGUCCCUAUAUGGUCUAUUACAACAGAAACAUGGAAAACUUUAGUGUCUGUCAUCCCCUACUUUCAAAAUCACAAGGCUUCGAAUCAGUACUUAGUCAGAGGUAAGAACGUGAUACAAGAUUGAUGCUUAUGAUUCAGAGGAAGACUUUUCUUGGAGACCUCCCAAUAAACUAUCCACGCUUAUGCCCACAUAAAAACUGAUCUACAAAAAGACUGACUGCAUUAAUUAGGCAAUACUACAUAUAUUUCCAUAUUGGGAUGGGGGGGGGGCAAAACAGAGCUUGGCGUUCAUAGCCAUGAGUCUCUGACAAAAGCUGCCUUGAAAAGAAUAAGAAAAACUGCAACUUUUAAUAAAGUUGCGACAGAGCAUUCUGUCCUUUCAAGUGUUAGCUUGAUGGCUAUACAGAGAGGGACUCAUAAAAUGAUGGCAGAAAACAUGUGGUAAUUAACUCGACAUGCACAAGGUCAUAUCCAGCACUGCUGCUCAGCUAGCGCAGCAGACAUCAACUUGCACAUAGGAAUUUUUCCUCUUCUGCUGCUUCCCAUACACCUCAAAAUCUGGAGGACCCUUCAGAACCAAUUUUGAAUGAGUGUGGGGAAAGGAGAAGUCCAGUGGUGCAAGUUGGACUCCACAAAUGUAGUAUUAGAUACAACCUACAGCCUUCCUCUCUCCCCCACUCCCUGCUCAGUAAGUCAUUUUGUGGCAUAUCCCCAACAAGUAUCUAUCCAACCAUUUAGCGGAGAUCAAACUCUGCAUUCCCCACUUGUAGGCAACAGACGGCUAGACUUAGCUUACGCAUUAUAGGAUAGUAGCCCUAAUAUAAAAAUACUGAACCAAUGUUUCACUCCCAAAAAAGAAAAGUAAAAACAGAGCCGAACAAAAAAACAUUUGCUUUAAGACAAUGUCUAGUUCUGCAACUUUGACAGGCAGUAGCCCUACUCACAAAUUACUUGUGUGUAGGGCAUUUGCGUUCUGAAGCAAAUAAUAACUUCUAACGGUCAUAGACUGAGGUAUGCUUCAAAAUUCACAAUCACAAAUUGUUAAUUCUGUGUUGGAUUGUCUUCCAAUGACUAAUAAUCAGAAUGCUGCUCCUAAAAUAAAGUUAUUUACCCAUACAAAAAUGGAUUGAAAUUUACAAUAAGCUAAACAGUAAUAUAGUCAAAAUGAACAGCCCAAAUACAUACUAUAGAUAGAUAGAUAGAUAGAUAGAUAGAUAGAUAGAUAGAUAGAUACAGAUCUGCUUUCAAUGCCACCAUCAAAAACUUUCCUUUACUACAUCCCUCAGAAAUGCUGUGAUUCAGGUACAUAACAUGUAGGUGGGGAGCUUUCUUCCCUUUUCCUUCUCGUCACAAAAGAAGGUUAGAAACAACAACAAAAUGUCAAAACACUGGAAUAACUCGCUACUCAAAUGUCAACAACCAAGCAAGAAUGUUGAUACUGUCACACACACACAAAGGUGUCAAAGGAACAAAUACGCAAGAACAAAAAUUGAUAAAAUCUAAGCACGUAUCAAUACCACCUCCAUCAACAACUUCAAAAGUCAACCAGUGACAGCACCACUCAUGCCUACCCACAACACAGAGCCAUCCCUGUCUCUUCAGCGUAAGUCACCACAGCCCACCAUCUCCCAUUAAUAACCCCAAAGAUUCCCUAUUAUAAGAACAGGGAGAAUAGGAAUUAAGAAUAGAAUGUUUCUAUCCUAGAUCCACUUCUGGUUCAUCUAAGUCUUCAUUUCAGCCUUCCAGAUCCCUAACACCAUGCCCUGAUCCUUAUACAGCAAUGUUUCCUGACUCUGCCUGUAUCAUAAAACAAGUCAAGCUGUUGGUCCAGGCACUGGGGGGGCCUGUGUCUAUUCUUCUUCUAUCCUGUAUUCCUGCAUCUUCAUACAGUCGUACCUUGGCACUCGUACGUUUUGGCUCUCAAACGCCGCAAACCUGGAAGUGAGUGUUCUGGUUUGCAAAUAUUCUUUGGAACUCGAAUGUCUGGCAUGGCUUCAGUGGCUUCAGGAGCUUCCUGCAGCCAAUCGGAAGCCGUGCCUUGGUUUCUGAACAUUUUGGAAGUUGAAAGGACUUCCAGAGCGGCUUCCGUUCGGCUUCCAAGGUAUGACUAUUUCAAAAACACAAAGCCAUUUUGCAUUUCAACCACGUUGCGUGGCUAUUCCCGCCCCCUCCCACAGAAUGGAAUAAAUAAAGACACAGGACACCGAAUUUAGGUUAAUGGGCGAAAAAUGGCCACAACUUUAUUGAUUACAGGUAAGAGCGGUAUUGGCUUUAGGCAUUGGCCCUAUCAGACUAACCGGUAUAACCGGGAAGGGUUAAGCACCAACAGGGGGAGCCCCCGAGAUGUACAUCCCUAGGCGCUCCCCGAGGGGUUACUGCUCGGGAGCGCGCUUUAGGCCCUAGCCUCCGUAGGUUUCGGAUGAGGCGACGCCCCCCGGAGUCCUUUAACGAACUACCCUUCAGCAUUUGGGGGAGGUGAUGGCGUUCCUCCCCCCGUCUCAUUUGCAUAAUAAUACCCCUGCCAAUGCCUAACCGCCAAAACCAAGGUGUUGUGACGUUUUGCUACGAGGUAAGCGAAAAAACCAAGUGGCUUCCAAAAUAUAGCCAAUUAGCCAAAUGGAAAAACUCCUACCAGGCCCCUUGCGGCGACCAGCCGAAGCCCAUAGCAAAGUCCGGAUGGGAACUUAAAGGGCGGGAGGGAGGGAAACCGCAGCUGCUGAAAGGAAAAGAAAGGGGCGAGUAUGGGCUGCCCCGACCUUAAAUGCCCCUUUCAAGUCCCGUCCCCGCUGCCAGCCAAUUGGCUGGCGCGGUGAAUAAUGAAUACUAAUGAUCCCAGGAUUCCCUUGGUCCCGCGGGGCUGCAGCCAGCCCCGCGAGGGUGUGAAUGGGGCGUGAGCCUGCAACCCCCCCCCCCGGAUGUCGGGAGUGGCAUUUUGAUGAUGUAUACAGACACAAAUUUAUUUUGAACCUACAUUGGAACGCGGUGUUUCUAGCAAAUUCCCUGGAAUUCAGGUAACUAAGGUGCAGGGCAAUAUCCCCCACUACAUACGAUAAUGUUGGAUAAAAAUCUCAAAUGUCAUACCCUUGUGGUUCCAUGUGUGGACAAACAAGUAACAUUUGAUUAAUGAAGCAUACAGGCCUGUUAACUCUUCUGCUACCAGAUAGGCUUCUCUGUGAUAGUUGGAGAAACCCCACUUGCCACCUGAGGGAGGUCCUAUAAUUUGGCACUAUUUGUAAUGCCUUGUGUGCUCUUGUCUUCUACUAGUUAUAGAUUUGGAACUUCUGUCUCCUGAUUGUACAUGAUCCUAUAAAACCCCACAAAAAACCCCACCACUCACAAAUAACAGCCCUCAAGCAUCAAACAUUUUGAUGCCUAUGAAGUGUAACAACAAUCCUUACUUACGAAAGGCAUUUGUAUUUGUCAAACAUGAAGUUAGUUGGAAAUAAGUUACAGAAGGGAUUCAUGCUAUCAAUCAUGGUUACUUGUUUCUUGACAGCCGACACAAUUUUCCCAGUAUAAUUUUGCAUCUUGUUCCACAGAUAUUGCUGUGGGAGAAGGGGGAGGUGUGGGAGCGAAGGAAGCUAGGGAGAUGUGCAAAGAGAAAUACAAAUUUAAAAUGGGGGAGAAAGGAGAGGGGUCAGAUAAGAGAGUUCUGUCAACUUUAGCAAAAGCAGAGACAGCACAAAACCUUUACAAGAGACCGUGAUAGCCACUAACUUGGAUGACUUUAAAAGAGAAUAAGACAUAUUUGUGAAGGAUUAUCCAUGGCUACUAGCCACAAUUGCUAUGUUCUAUCUCCAAUGGUGGAGGCGUUUUGCCUUUGACUGCUGGUUGCUGGGACAGAUGCAGUUACAUCUUGUCUCUGCGUGGAGGUUUCCCAUGAGCAUCUGGUUGGCUGCUGUGGAAACAGGGGCCUGGGUUAGAUGGGUCCGUGGCCUGAUCAAGCAGGUCUUUUCUUACAUUCUUUCAUUCUUAUCGUUCAUGGAGAAAACAGGUUGAUGUGAGGCUAGGACACAAACAACUUUGAUCGAAGGACUGGGCAGAGAGCAGAAGAAGUGAGGGAAAGGGAGACAAAGCAGAACGCUUACUAGAUCUCAGGAUCCUUUCUGAUUCUAGGCUACAUCUUCUCCCUCUGCUUAACCCAGAAGACCUGGCUUCUUUCCGCUUCAUAAAAAAACAGGAAGUUCACCUCAUCACAGGCACUAGGCACCAAAUGCGAUCUGGAGGACUCUUCAAAUUGGACAGAACAAGGAAGCAGUAAAAGUAUGGAAGGUAUGGCAGUGGAAGGAGCAGGAAAUAAGAGGGAGGAAAGGGGGCAGAAGGCCUUGCAGGACCAGACUUGGGAGCAAUUCUUUCUUUGCCAUUUCAGAUCCAUCACAAUGAAACUGGAAACAUCAUAACAUGAUGCGAGUGAUCUUUACACAGGAAAGUAUAUUUGAUCACUCACUAAUGCGCUCUUUAAGCAGCUUAAUUUGCUCUGGUUUAGCAUUUUCUUAACAGAGGGACACCACCAGACUGUCGAACAACCCCACAAAUGACUGGAUUAAUUUGUAAAUAUGGAGAUCAUAAAGGAAAAUCAAAGAAAGGAUAACCCCACCUGCUGGUAGGUGUGUUCACACACUGCCCAUCUAAUGAGCCAAUGCAUGGUAUUCUGAGAAAAAUAAGGUUUCUUUCCACCAGCUGUUAGUUCAACUAGUGACACAGGAGCCACAGAUGAGGCUUUCAGGGAAUGAUGCACUAUUUCCCGAUAAACACACACACACACACACACACACAUUUGGAGAAGAAAGAAAUGGAUGCUGAUUUUUCACUACUGCUGCUUCACAUUAUUGAGUUUGCAAAGGUGGCAGCAGCGGCAGCAAAGCUGCUGCUUUUAUUUUAUUAUUUUAUUAUCUCAUAAAAUCUAUACAGUAUACCAC